rnacentral:rRNA from 1 species
GACGAACGCUGGCGGCGUGCUUAACACAUGCAAGUCGAGCGAUGAAGUUUUUUCGGAAAUGGAUUAGCGGCGAACGGGUGAGGAACACGUGAAGAAUCUGCCCUCCACUUUGGGAUAACACAGGGAAACCUGUGCUAAUACCGAAUAUUGAAACAUAAGUGGCAUCACUGAGUUUUGAAAGAAUCUCGGUGGAGGAUGACUUCGCGGCCUAUCAGCUAGUUGGUGAGGUAAUGGCUCACCAAGGCAACGACGGGUAGCCGGCCUGAGAGGGCAACCGGCCACACUGGGACUGAGACACGGCCCAGACUCCUACGGGAGGCAGCAGUGGGGAAUGUUGGGCAAUGGAGGAAACUCUGACCCAGCGACGCCGCGUGCGGGAUGAAGGCCUUCGGGUUGUAAACCGCUUUCAGUAGGGAAGAAGCGAAAGUGACGGUACCUACAAAAGAAGCACCGGCUAACUAUGUGCCAGCCGCCGCCGUAA